GGAUUCUAAACUAAACUAUUCUUUGUG
rnacentral:tRNA from 1 species